rnacentral:tRNA from 1 species
CGAUAUAAAUCUAUCGGGGGGACGGACUGUAAAUCCGUUGGCAAUAUGCCUACGCUGGUUCAAAUCCAGCUAGACCCA